UUUUGUAAGCAAGCCUAAUAUUUUAGUAGGCAAAGUUAAAGCGAAAAACAUUAAGUGUGUUUAUAGUUUGCAAAAAAAUACCCGAAACAAAGCGAUCUAGCCAAGGUCCUGCUUUUUUGGCUCAACUCGUGUUUGUUGCAAUAAACUGGGGUGAACUUUGGUUAGGGGUGAAAAGCCAAUCGAGCUUUGAGAUAGCUGGUUUUUUGCGAAAGCUAUUUAGGUAGUGCCUUCUUUUAGUUUUGCAGAGGUAAAGCACUCUUUUAGUUGGGGGGCAUUUUGUUACUUCACUUUUGGAAACUCUGAAUGCUGCAUUUUUUUUUUGAAGAGUCAGACACUUGGCGCGAAGGUCUUUUGUCUAGAGGGAAACAGCCCAGAUUGUUUUUUAAGGUCCCUAAGGUAUUGUAAGUUUAAGGCUUUGUACUUUUUUAAUAUUUGUUUUUUACAGCAAGGAUGUAGGCUUGGAAGCAGCCAUCAUUUUUAGAAAGCGUAAAAGCUCACUUGCUUAUUUAUAGAUAAAAAAAGCCGAAAAUUCAAAGGGUUUUUUAAAUACCACCGAAAAUGCAAGUUAGAAUUUUUUUAUUUUUGCGGUAGCAAAACGCUUUGUUUCUCGUAGAAGAUAAGUUGAAAAACUUUUUGAAGAGCUCAAAGUUGCUUAUACUAGGAUGAGUAACGAAAAAUUUGGUGUCGAAUCCAAAUCACUUAAAGCC
rnacentral:rRNA from 1 species